GGCCGGCUGGCGAAAUGGCAUCGCGUCUGACUACGAUGACACGCUACGUAAUCAGGAGAUUUCAGGUUCGACCUCUGAGUCGGUCA